rnacentral:rRNA from 1 species
AGAGUUUGAUCAUGGCUCAGAACGUACGCUGGCGGCACGCCUAACACAUGCAAGUCGAACGAAGUAGCAAUACUUAGUGGCAGACGGGUGAGUAACAUGUGGGUAUCUGCCCUUUGGCCUGGAAUAACACGAGGAAACUUGUGCUAAUACCGGAUAAGUCUUUACAGAGAAAGCUUUAUGCACCAUUGGAUGAGCCUGCACUUGAUUAGUUUGUUGGUGGGGUAAUGGCCUACCAAGACUGUAAUCAAUAGCUGAUUUGAGAGGAUGAUCAGCCACAUUGGGACUGAGACACGGCCCAAACUCCUACGGGAGGCAGCAGUGGGGAAUCUUGCACAAUGGAGGAAACUCUGAUGCAGCGAUGCCGCGUGAGUGAAGAAGGCCUUUGGGUUGUAAAGCUCUUUCGUCGGGGAAGAAAAUGACUGUACCCGAAUAAGAAGGUCCGGCUAACUUCGUGCCAGCAGCCGCGGUAAUACGAAGGGACCUAGCGUAGUUCGGAAUUACUGGGCUUAAAGAGUUCGUAGGUGGUUGAAAAAGUUGGUGGUGAAAUCCCAGAGCUUAACUCUGGAACUGCCAUCAAAACUUUUCAGCUAGAGUAUGAUAGAGGAAAGCAGAAUUUCUAGUGUAGAGGUGAAAUUCGUAGAUAUUAGAAAGAAUACCAAUUGCGAAGGCAGCUUUCUGGAUCAUUACUGACACUGAGGAACGAAAGCAUGGGUAGCGAAGAGGAUUAGAUACCCUCGUAGCCCAUGCCGUAAACGAUGUGUGUUAGACGUUGGAAAUUUAUUUUCAGUGUCGCAGCGAAAGCGAUAAACACACCGCCUGGGGAGUACGACCGCAAGGUUAAAACUCAAAUGAAUUGA